AGAUAGAGGUCGCAUUUUUCAUAAGUAUGAUGACGGAUGUAUUCAAGAACAGAAGAACUCAUCAGAAAGGGGAAGAUGCCGAAAGGAUAAGGAGACUUGAACCCCUCUUCCUUGGGCAUGUCGUCAACAGCGCCAUGACUGUCAUCGCAAGAUGGAGAGCUAUCGA
rnacentral:ncRNA from 1 species